GAAUGAUGUUGACAUUUUAGUUAAAAGGGGAAGCGUGCAAUAUGAGAUAAAAUAAGUUUAUUGAGAAAGGAAAUAUUGGAGAAGGUGACCUCAUUGAAGAUAGAUAAAUCAUCAAGACUGGAUGAAUUGUAUUCAAGACUGUAAAAGGAAGCCAGGGAGGAAAUAAUGGAUUCUCUGAGGAAUAUUUUCUAAUCCUCACUAGAUACUGGUGAGGUAUCUGAGGAUGUGAGGCAUGUAAACAUAGCAAUACUCAAAAUAGGUGUGAGGGACAGGCCAAAUAAUUGUGACCUCGUCAGUCUGGCCUCAGUGAUGAGUAAAUGACUGGAAUCAACACUGAAAGGUCAUGUUCCAGGCUCCAGGUUCAAGUCAGCAAUUAAAAGGUUUAUGGAAGCGAAUGACAUCAAAGGAUAUGGAGAUUAUGCAGUAUAGGAGGAAACACCUCGAUAUACAAAUAAUGCUGGAAGUUUGAACUCUUUCUUGCAAAGGGUAAUGAUUACGAGAACAGAAGAGGAGUAUGUGUACAGACCUUGAAGCAAUUGGUCAAC